UGGUGUAGUGGUUAGAGCGCGGGGCAGCGAACUCGGAAGCCGAGAGUUCGAAUCCUGCCUGGAACCCUCUCUGAAGAAAACCUCAAAAGGUCAUGAAGCCACAAUAACACAAGAAUCCCAUAGACUAUAUGGACAAAUGUGACAAACGCCCAGAAGAUCAGUAUCCAAAUAUGACAAAUCACAGUUCAUUCCAAAUACUUAUUGGCUUUUAAAGAUUCUUUGGGGAUCUGUUUAGCCUCUUGUGCUUUCUCUCUCUCUCUCUCUGCUCAAUGUGUUGGUCAGCUCCAUAAAUAUAUGAAGACACACCAAUUCUCAAAGCCAGCAACAACAUCUCAGUUGCAUCCUUAUCUCCCUCCUGCUUUGCUUUCUCUGCUCCUUGCUUUUCCUCAUUCAACCAGCAGAUGUGGCCUGCCUUCUCCAACAAAUCAUUUUAGGUGCCAUUUUCACAGUGACAGUUUCUUAUGUGUUGGCCAAAACACACCAUAUGUUUAUGGCUUCUGCACCUGACUCCAAGAUGCAGAGACGGUUGGGGGAAAUGGUGGCUAGUUUCAUUGUGUUUGGGUCUCCCUUGUUCCAGUCUAUAUGAGCACAAAGGGCAAAUAUGUGGUGGCUGUUGAGAUUUUCUCUAUCUUGGCUUCCGGUGCUGGCUUACUGAUUUGCAUCUUUGCCCUUAAAUGCUACAUUAUUGCAUUCAGACCUAUUCUGAACAGCAAAAUGCAAUUCAAUUGCUGAAGAAGAAACACAAAUGUAUCUAGUAUAAUUAUUUUAUGUCACAUAAGAAAAUAAGGACAUUUAUUGCAGUUCCUAUUUAGUAGUCACUGACUAAUAACAUGGAUCUCUUUCGUUUUAGUUUACCUGAGCGCAAAAGGAAAAUACAGGGUUUCUCCAUCCAGGGGUGCAGCUAUAUUUUAGAAUGAAUAUAGUUUGACACCACUUUAAUUGCCAUAGCCCAAUGCUAUGGAAGCCUGGAAGUUGGAGAUUUACAAGAUCUUAAGUCUUCUCUGUCAAAAAGUGCUGGUAUUUCACCAAACUACAACUCCAAAGAUUUCAUAGCAUUCAGCGAUGGCAGUUAGAGUGUGGCAUCGAACUGCAUUAAUUGCACAGUGUAGAUGUACCCAUGGGUUCCUAUGCUUCUUUACUUGAUUCCAUUUGGCUCUAAAAACUAUUAUUCUGUUUUACCCUAAUCUGAAUAAAAAGAAGCCAUUCAUAUAAAGUAAAUGCUGAAAUAUCCAAGUACUUGUGUUUUCUGACACACCAGGGCUUGUUUAAUAGUUAAUUUGUUUCUAAUUGCAGCCUUUCAUAAUGUGAUAUAUGGUAUAUUAAUUGGUUUAUAUUUGAUUUCUGUAAUACUGUAUUCAUUUUGCUGGCAGUCUCUUAAAUAUGAUAUGCUUUUUUCCUCAUUCUUUCAGAUGUAGAAUGUCUUUGGAUCACCAUUUUCAACUGAAUAUGGCCUGGGGAAGAUUUAGUUGAUUAGCCCUUUAAAAUAGCAUAUGGCUCAGAUUCUGUAAUUGCUCAGAUAAUUUUGUUACAAAGGAAUCUGUCAUAACCUUAAUCUCAGCCACUAAAUCAAGGGUAGGAAAAGUGCAGACUAUGGGCCAUAUUUAGUUUUUUUUUAUACCUGUUUACCUUGCAUCCCACCUUGAGUCUUAUGUUAACAUAACCCAAUAUACUUGUUAAUAUGUAAUAUGUUCAACAUGUAUACAUUUCUAAAUAUAUGUCACUACCUGUAAGAUCAUGCAAAGGAAGGGAAUAUUCAGAAAAGAAAAGAAAAAGUAAACAUAACAAAAUCAAUUUUAUUAGGAAAUACAGUAUUCAGUAACAAUUAUUUUCACACUCAAUCUCUUCAAAUGAGAUCUGUAAAUAAAAACUAGAAUUAUGAAUUACAGUUCCAUAAUUUUGAACUCCAAGAUAUUUGGAUAUUUUGAAGUCAGUGUUAAUAUCUUGGCAUAAAAUAAUUUAGUUCAUUUCCUUGUAUUGCAAACUUCCAUCAGGACACAUAGGAAAUUUACACAAUGAACUUUUAAGUGAGGAAAUGUAGCCAGAAAACCAUAUUGGGAGGGACGGGACAUUCAGCAUACUGUAAAACAAACCAGAGAACUGACAUUGCAAAUCCAAGUAUUUGAUUUAGCUAUGUGUCAUAAAAUAAUAGAACUGGACAGUGAAAUGACUAUUCAAAUCUUCAGAAUAACAACAAUAAAAAUGUAGGGACCUGCACCCACAUACCCAAAUGGUCACAACCAUGAUGGGAAAACAGAACAAAAAAGGUCAAAUCAAGCUGGUACACAUAUAAAAAGCUGUUUUAAUACUAUUAAGCAGCUCUUAACAACACAAGGCAGCUGCCUUUGUCAAGUGAAAAUCGCCCAUUUACUCAUUCAAACACAUGCAAAUAUCCAUUUUCUCUCUGGCAAGAAAAGGAAAACCCUCAGUUGAUGGCUCCCCCUGCUUCCCCAUCUUCCAAAAUCUUGACUCAGCCAUGAAGGUCUGAAGAUAGUUUAGGGACAAGUCAUUGAAAUUCCAUGGAAAUACCCAGAAGUGGAAAUUGAAGUGGGGAAUUCAAUUGUGGGGUGAGCUCUGCUUCUCUUCUGCCUUUUGUGUUACCAAGUACACACAAAUACACAAGCCUACCCUUCUUCCAGCACCUUAUAUAGAUAUAUCAUUAAAUAUUAUCUGUACACUUCAGCUAUUAGCAAAACAACACUGGUGCCGUAUUUGCUUUGUUUGACUAUUCAAAAAUCAGCACAAGGGGAAGGGGGGGAGGAAGGCGGAUUUGUGAUUUAGGAUAUUUUCACAUCAUACUAUAAUGGUGCUAUAUGCAGCUUUAAUUGCCAUGGAACCUUGGAAUUUAUAGUUUGCUCAGACAUUAGACCUCUCUGGUUGAGAAUUGCAAAUAGCCUACCCUAGAGUAUAGAUUACAGGAUAUGACAGGAUGUUGCAACCAUACAACACAGUUGCAGUACUAUGAUUCUGCUUUAACUACCGCUAAGUGAAAUUAGAGUACUGUAACUGGGUUGUGUGUAAGGGACCUCACCGAAGGGCCAGCCAAUGCUUAACUCUAAGAUGGGAGGUGGAAAUCUUCAUGGUUGAUACAAGUACCCGCCAUACAGUUCUGAAUCCUAGCUUCUGAUGAUAUCCCUAACAUUCACUGAAUAGGUUUCAUUUCAACAGGCUGGCCAUGGUAGAGCCAAUUCUACAUUGCAUAAGUGGGAAAAUAAGUGAAUUAAAGGAUAGAUUUGGGACAGCAUCAGGAGAAGAAGAAGAAAAGCAACAGUAAGAGGAGAG